GUGUGUUUGAAGGGAACGGCCCUUGAUGAGACAUCUGUCCAUACUUGUUAGGUGGUUUCAUGGCCCCCUGAACAGGGCGGAUGCGGAGAGCCUCCUGUCCCUCUGCAAGGAAGGCAGCUACCUAGUGCGGCUCAGCGAGACCAGCCCCCAGGACUGCUCCUUGUCUCUCAGGAGCAGCCAGGGCUUCCUGCAUCUGAAGUUCGCGCGGACCCGAGAGAACCAGGUGGUGCUGGGUCAACACAGCGGGCCCUUCCCCAGCGUGCCCGAGCUCGUCCUCCACUACAGUUCA
rnacentral:sRNA from 1 species